GAUGAACGCUGGCGGCGUGCCUAAUACAUGCAAGUCGAGCGGUAAGGCUUUCACAGAUUAUUUGAACUGAAAAGUCCAUCAUUGAUGGAUACUCUCUGACACGAGAUUCAUAGGCUAUGAAUCAAGGUCGAAUAAUGCGUGAAAGUACACGAGCGGCGGACGGCUGAGUAACGCGUAGGAACGUACCCCAAAGUGAGGGAUAAGCCAUCGAAAGAUGGUCUAAUACCGCAUGUGAUCCACGGAUUAAAGCUUCGGCGCUUUGGGAGCGGCCUGCGUAUGAUUAGUUUGUUGGUGAGGUAAAGGCUCACCAAGACUACGAUCAUUAGCUGGUCUGAGAGGAUGAUCAGCCAGACUGGGACUGAGACACGGCCCAG
rnacentral:rRNA from 1 species